CUCAAUCUUACACUAAACCCUAAUCCUAAACCUAAGAGACCACCAGGCGCCCCACCCCUUCUCCUACACGAAUCCACCGCGCCAGCCCCUCCAACUCGCCCAAAUCGGGCGAUGUACUCGCCCGUGUUAGCCCAUGGUCCCCUCCUCUCUUCUCUCCUUCUUCUACAUCAUUCAUUCCAUACAAAUCUCAUCAUUUCAAUCCGAUUCACGCGGAUUUCUUCUUUUAUUUCUUUUUGCUUAAACAAAAAUCCGAGUUCUUGAAAUAAAUGUUAGAAAAUGGGAGCCAUUGGAUUAAAUUUUGAUCCAAGACUUCCAUUUUUUGAUUUUUUCUAAAAAUGAGGAUUUUCGGAUCUUGUUUGGGGGGUCCACACGGAUUUUUGAAGGGUUCUGGCGAUUUCUUGCAAAGGAAGGAGAGAAGCUUCGGGAGAGAGCUAUAUAUUUGGGUCUGGAACAGAGAAUAAGGGGGAGAAAAAGGUUAGGAAAAAUUAGGGUUCUAAUAGGAAGUUUCUUCUUCUCUUCUCAUUUUUUUUUGUCCAUUUUCGGUUGAGUUACAAUUCCAAAAAACAAAAAUACAAAAAACAGUUUGAGUUUGAUUUUUGUUCAAGUAUUAUUCCAUUUUCGAAAAUUAGAAACUAACACAAAAAAAAAUAUAUACAUCUCUUUACUGCUUUUUCAAUCGUGGAAUUUCAAUUUUGAGUUUUGGUCUGCGAACAUGGAGACUGCUUGAGGUGCUCGAGUUCGAGUUUCAAAUUGUUGUCCGUUCGUGAAUUUUGGACGAGGUUCCUUGUUCGAAGUCAGCCCUGUUUUCUCACUCGGAUUCUAGACUCGAAGUUUGUAGCUGAAUUUCUUGCUUUCUGUUAUUAAGAAGAGUUUUACAAUUCCAGUGGAAUUUCAAUUUUGAGUUUUGGUCUGCGAACAUGGAGACUGCUUGAGGUGCUCGAGUUCGAGUUUCAAAUUGCUGUCCGUUCGUGAAUUUUGGACGUGGUUCCUUGUUCGAAGUCACCGCUGUUUUCUCACUCGGAUUCCAGACUCAAAGUUUGUAGCUGAAUUUCUUGCUUUCUGUUAUUAAGAAGAGUUUUGCAAUUCCAGCAGUUAUCUCAUCAAUAUCCAAACUCAGUUGUUGAUUUGUUUCGGAAGAAAAAGACUGCUGUUGCUGUGUCAGGCAACAUCAACUC